rnacentral:rRNA from 1 species
AUCUGGAGAAGGACAACAGGGAUUGCCCCAGUAACGGCGAGUGAAGCGGCAACAGCUCAAAUUUGAAAUCUGGCCUCCGGGUCCGAGUUGUAAUUUGUAGAGGAUGCUUUUGGCGAGGUGCCUUCCGAGUUCCCUGGAACGGGACGCCAUAGAGGGUGAGAGCCCCGUCUGGUCGGACACCGAGCCUCUGUAAAGCUCCUUCGACGAGUCGAGUAGUUUGGGAAUGCUGCUCAAAAUGGGAGGUAUAUGUCUUCUAAAGCUAAAUAUUGGCCAGAGACCGAUAGCGCACAAGUAGAGUGAUCGAAAGAUGAAAAGCACUUUGAAAAGAGGGUUAAAAAGUACGUGAAAUUGUUGAAAGGGAAGCGCCUAUGACCAGACUUGGGCCCGGUGAAUCAUCCAGCGUUCUCGCUGGUGCACUUUGCCGGGCACAGGCCAGCAUCAGUUUGGCGCGGGGGAUAAAGGUUUUGGGAAUGUGGCUCCCUCGGGAGUGUUAUAGCCCAUUGCGUAAUACCCUGCGCCGGACUGAGGUACGCGCAUCGCAAGGAUGCUGGCGUAAUGGUCAUCAGCGACCCGUCUUGAAACACGGACCAAGGAGUCGUCUUCGUAUGCGAGUGUUCGGGUGUCAAACCCCUACGCGUAAUGAAAGUGAACGCAGGUGAGAGCUUCGGCGCAUCAUCGACCGAUCCUGAUGUUCUCGGAUGGAUUUGAGUAAGAGCAUACGGGGCCGGACCCGAAAGAAGGUGAACUAUGCCUGUAUAGGGUGAAGCCAGAGGAAACUCUGGUGGAGGCUCGCAGCGGUUCUGACGUGCGAAUCGAUCGUCAAAUAUGGGCAUGGGGGCGAAAGACUAAUCGAACCUUCUAGUAGCUGGUUUCCGCCGAAGUUCCCCCUUCAGGGAAGGA